rnacentral:rRNA from 1 species
UAAAUGACUCUCGGCAACGGAUAUCUCGGCUCUUGCAUCGAUGAAGAACGUAGCGAAAUGCGAUACUUGGUGUGAAUUGCAGAAUCCCGUGAACCAUCGAGUCUUUGAACGCAAGUUGCGCCCGAAGCCAUUAGGCUGAGGGCACGCCUGCCUGGGUGUCACA